rnacentral:rRNA from 1 species
UACGUAGGGUGCAAGCGUUAAUCGGAAUUACUGGGCGUAAAGCGUGCGCAGGCGGUUUUGUAAGCCAGAUGUGAAAGCCCCGGGCUUAACCUGGGAAUGGCAUUUGGGACUGCAAGGCUGGAGUGUGGCAGAGGAGACUGGAAUUCCUGGUGUAGCAGUGAAAUGCGUAGAUAUCAGGAGGAACACCGAUGGCGAAGGCAGGUCUCUGGGCUGACACUGACGCUCAUGCACGAAAGCGUGGGGAGCAAACAGG